rnacentral:tRNA from 1 species
GUUGCAGUGGCCGAGUGGUUAAGGCGUUGGACAAGAAAAUCAAUGGGAUCUUCCCGCGCAGGUUCGAAUCCUGCCCGCAACG